ensembl:lncRNA
CCCUCCUCCACCAAAUGAGCAACUGGCAGUGAACAACCGUGAGAGGUCCUGCUCAGCCAUUGGCCAGUGCUGCCGUGGGCCCCUCCCCCAGCAAGCCACUGUCAAGGGGAGACUGUUACUGGGCACAUUCAACCAGCAGUCGGGGAGUGGUGGUCCUCAGGUGGAGAGUGAGGGUGCACCUGCAUUGGAACCCAGAGUGUCUGCACUCACAUGGUCGCUGAAGACUAAUCUCAGCUAGCUAACAGUCUCCAAAGCUAGACACAGAGUCAGCUGUCUUGGAACUGCUUGUCUGCAUCAUGAGGAACUGUGCAGGGAGACAUGGAUGAGAAUCCGCCACAUCUACAGAUGUGCUACAGAAAUGUGCUAGAGAAAUAGAUGGGCUAGAGAAACAGGAUUGGGACACACAGAAUCACUGCA